UGUCAGUGCUGCAUGGCUGUCGUCAGCUCGUGUCGUGAGAUGUUCGGUUAAGUCCGCUAACGAGCGCAACCCUCGCUGUGUGUUACAAGUGUCACACGGAACUGCCGGUCAUAAACCGGAGGAAGGUGGGGAUGACGUCAAGUCAGCAUGGCCUUUAUAUCCUGGGCUACACACACGCUACAAUGGGAAGGGACAAUAGGUUGCGAAGCCGCGAGGCGGAGCCAAUCCAGCAAAACUUCCCUCAGUUCAGAUUGCAGGCUGCAACUCGCCUGCAUGAAGUUGGAGUUGCUAGUAAACGCAGGUCAGCCAUACUGCGUUGAAUACGUUCCCGGGGCUU
rnacentral:rRNA from 1 species